rnacentral:rRNA from 1 species
AACGCACCUUGCGCUCCUGGGCUAUUCCUAGGAGCAUGCCUGUUUGAGUGUCGUGAAAUCAUCAACCCCAGUUGGAUUUGAAAUUUGACUGGUGGCUUGGACUUGGGGGUUUGCUGGCCGUUUUGACUCGGUCUGGCUCCCCUUGAAUGUAUUAGCUUGGACUUGUUCCUAAGGCUUCAUGGCGUGAUAAUUAUCUACGCCGUUCUGUGAAGCAUAACUAUGGGACUCGGCUUCCAAUAGCCCUUCACUGGACAAUAUCUUUGACCUUUGACCUCAAAUCAGGUAGGAUUACCCGCUGAACUUAA